CUGAGCCGAAGACGGCCGCUUAGCCGACUGAGCCACCCAGGCGCCCCUGGGGGGAUCUGCACUUUGAAGAGGAGGCUGCCUGGGAAUGAGUUGUAUUUUGAGGCCUUUCCUGUCAUUUCUGCUUCCUGGGCACACGAGGACAGGAGCCAAAAUGACAAAAGGCCCCACCCAGACCGGUGGUGCUCUGAGGGCAUCCUCAGGUGAUGUUAACUAACUCAGAACCACCGAGGAUUCCUGCCACUUUAGUUCAUUCUGUAGAAUUAAGCCAGUGUUAGCUCAGAGUUUUAAGUGAGAGGCAGAAUCUCAGGUCAACAGAAGACAGAUCGGUUGAGAUAAAAAGGCAGAAGAAAGGAUGAGCCUGACAAGUUUGGGAUGGACCAGUUCAGUCUGGCCAGAAUAAAUAGGACCAAAAAGGAAGUGAAGGCAGAAAGGCAUCUGAGGUCAAUUUAUAAGAGGCCUUCAAUGCCAGAAUUUUUUUCGUCAGUAAGAGGAUCAAAGUGAUGUUUUAGGAUGGUGAGGCCCCACAAUCUCCCAGCCCACGUGUUCCUCUUACAGCGUGGUGUGAAUGCUUCCCAUUCAGAGGUCCUGUGUCUCCUUGCCUUGAAUCUGGGUAGGCCUGUGACUUACAGUGGUUGGUCAUAAAAGAUGAUAUAUUUCUGCCUUGUCCUCUUGGGAUGGUCAUUCUUAGAAUGCAGAGAGGUAUUCCGCCACAAGCCGAGACGAGGUCCCAGGAUUACCUGCCAGGUAUGUGAGUGAAGAUUGCUCCAGAAAGUUUUAGUCCCCCGUGAAUUUCCCUCAACCAUCAAAUCUCCCUUAGUGCUCAAGUCUUCCCGACUGAGGGCCAAGCAUUCGUAGAGCAGAGACAAGCCAUCCCAGUGCCUGUCUGAAUUUAUACCUGCAGAAUCCAUGAGAUAAUAAAAUGAUUGAGAUUUAAGCCUA